GACGAACGCUGGCGGCGUGCCUAAUACAUGCAAGUAGAACGCUGAAGGAGGAGCUUGCUCUUCUGGAUGAGUUGCGAACGGGUGAGUAACGCGUAGGUAACCUGCCUGGUAGCGGGGGAUAACUAUUGGAAACGAUAGCUAAUACCGCAUAACAGUAGAUGUUGCAUGACAUUUGCUUAAAAGGUGCAAUUGCAUCACUACCAGAUGGACCUGCGUUGUAUUAGCUAGUUGGUGGGGUAACGGCUCACUAAGGCGACGAUACAUAGCCGACCUGAGAGGGUGAUCGGCCACACUGGGACUGAGACACGGCCCAGACUCCUACGGGAGGCAGCAGUAGGGAAUCUUCGGCAAUGGACGGAAGUCUGACCGAGCAACGCCGCGUGAGUGAAGAAGGUUUUCGGAUCGUAAAGCUCUGUUGUAAGAGAAGAACGAGUGUGAGAGUGGAAAGUUCACACUGUGACGGUAUCUUACCAGAAAGGGACGGCUAACUACGUG
rnacentral:rRNA from 1 species